GGCAGCCCUCGCCAGGCACCUCCAGGGCUUCUCCGCCUCCCCGGCGCGCCCUACACCUGACGGCCGAGUUCUAAGCCGGGCCGAAAGGGCUGCAUUCCUUGUGGUAUCCAAUCCAGCCUCUCCUGGUUCCUGAGUUGUCUCCAGUGAUGCAAAAUCAGAUAAGGAAACACACCUCGUCUAGGAAGCAAGGGGAAAUAUGACAAAGCACACAGAAGCUAGAAAUAAAAGUCAAAAUCUACACCAUCGAACCCAAUAACCUUCUUCAGUUUUGAUUAAUGAUGGAUCCAAACCAAAACAGUUGUCACGUUCACAUGUUAGAAACGAAACCCAUCUGCAUCACUUAUGAUAGGCAGUAGUAAACUGAACCAAAUGAGAAAAAUCCCAGCAGCAAACUUGUUGACAAAACUUUAGCCGAUUGCCACGGUAGUCUGGUACAGGAACGUCAAAUGAAACCAAUGUGCUGUAAAUAAACCUUUAUUGUAUUUUAUGAUACGGUUUGAAUUUAAAUCCCUAGGAAGCUCCACGAAACAAAAAACAUAUUGAUGCUAAUGCUGUGGAGCAGCACAGUUUGUCUAGAAAAUAAAUGAGACGAAACAGCAGUCUAGAUGUAGGCACCAAGUCCAAGUUUUCAUGUGGGAUCCACGUAUCAGAGUCCAUCCAGGAACAUCCUGCUGGAAUCGCUAGCCUGGCAUUCACAGAAGAUCGUGCCACCCAGAAGGAAUGUGUCUUCAGCCAUGUGGUUCCUUGGAGUGAGAGGUGAAGCCAGCCAUACUUCUGGGUCCGGUGGGGACUUAGAGAACUUUUCUGUCUUACAAGAGGAUUGUGAAAUGCACCAAUCAGCAUUCUGUAGCUAGCUAGAGUUUUGUAAAAUGCACCAAUCAGUGGUCUGUAGCUAGCUAUAGGUUUGUAAAAUGGACCAAUCAGCACUCUGUAAAGUGGACCAAUCAGCAGGACAUGGGUGGGGACAAAUAAGGGAAUUAAAAACUGUCCACCCCAGCCUGCAGGGGCCGCCUGCUUGGGUUCCUUUCUAAGUUGUGGAAGCUUUGUUCUUUUGCUCUUCACAAUAAAUUUUGCUGCUGCUCAC